AAUGAACGCUGGCGGCAGGCCUAACACAUGCAAGUCGAACGAGUAGCGGACGGGUGAGUAAUGGCUGGGAAACUGCCUGAUGGAGGGGGAUAAAUACUGGAAACGGUAGCUAAUACCGCAAACCAUCGGAUGUGACCAGUGGGGAUUAGAUAGUAGGUGGGGAAUCGGCUCACCGAGGCGACGAUCCCUAGCGGGUCUCAGAGGAUGAGCAGCCACACUGGAACGGAGACACGUUCCAGACUCCUACGGGAGGCAGCAGUAGGGAAUAUUGCACAAUGGACGCAAGCCUGAUGCAGCAAUGCCGCGUGAAUGAAGAAGGCCUUCGGAUCGUAAAAUACUUUCAGCAGGGAAGCGUUAUCCUACGAAAAAGCAACGGCUAACUCCGUGCCAGCAGCCGCGGUAAUAC
rnacentral:rRNA from 1 species